rnacentral:rRNA from 1 species
GACGAGGGGUCCAAGCGUUGUUCGGAAUUAUUGGGCGUAAAGGGUAGGUAGGUGGUCUCAUUUGUCUGGGGUGAAAGCCUUGAGCUUAACUCAAGAAGUGCCCCAGAAACGGUGAGACUGGAGUCCUGGAGAGGGUCGUGGAAUUCCCGGUGUAGCGGUGAAAUGCGUAGAUAUCUGGAGGAACACCGGUGGCGAAGGCGGCAUCCUGGACCGGCAUUGACGCUGAGGCGCGAAAGCCAGGGGAGCAAACGGG